rnacentral:rRNA from 1 species
CAUGUCUUUUUGAUUAUAAUUUAAAGUCUGACCUGCCCUAUGAAUAUUUAAAUGGCUGCGGUACUUUGACCGUGCAAAGGUAGCAUAAUAAUUAGUUUUUUAAUUGGGAACUGGAAUGAAUGGUUGGACGAGAUAAAGACUGUCUCAAUUUAAUUUUAAUUAGAAUUUUAUUUUUAAGUUAAAAAGCUUAAAUAAUUUUAAAAGACGAGAAGACCCUAUAGAGUUUUAUAUAUAAAUAUAUUGUUUGGAGGUAUAGUAAUUAAAUUUUAAUUAUAUUUUUAUAUAUUUGGUUGGGGCGAUUGAAAAAUUUAAUUAACUUUUUUUAAUAUUUUAACAUUGAUAUAUGAUUGAUUGAUCCAUUUUUUAUGAUUAUAAGAUUAAAUUACCUUAGGGAUAACAGCGUAAUUUUUUUUUAGAGUUCUUAUCGAAAAAAAAGUUUGCGACC